rnacentral:rRNA from 1 species
CCUACGGGUGGCAGCAGUAGGGAAUCUUCCACAAUGGGCGAAAGCCUGAUGGAGCAACGCCGCGUGGGUGAAGAAGGUCUUCGGAUCGUAAAACCCUGUUGUUAGAGAAGAAAGUUCGUGAGAGUAACUGUUCACGUUUCGACGGUAUCUAACCAGAAAGCCACGGCUAACUACGUGCCAGCAGCCGCGGUAAUACGUAGGGGGCAAGCGUUAUCCGGAUUUAUUUGGCGUAAAGGGAACGCAGGCGGUCUCUUAAGUCUGAUGGGAAAGCCUUCGGCUUAACCGGAGUAGUGCAUUGGAAACUGGGAGACUUGAGUGCAGAAGAGGAGAGUGGAACUCCAUGUGUAGCGGUGGAAUGCGUAGAUAUAUGGGAGGACACCAGUGGCGAAAGCGGCUCUCUGGUCUGUAACUGACGCUGAGGUUCGAAAGCGUGGGUAGCAAACAGGAUUUAGAUACCCGUGUAGUC